CGCAAGUUAUAAAGCUGUUGGUACAAUAAUGAUAUCAAAUCUUUGAGCGCAUAUCCAGUGCACAAUACAUCACACACAUUAUCCUAAAUUUAUUUUUCUCCAUCAAUUAGUUGAAAAGAGCACAGAGGAGAGAUAGGGUUCAAUAUUAAACUCAACAAAAAAAAUAUAAAGUUACAAGGGGCACUUAAAGAAUUCAUCUGGCCAAAACCAGAGAGUUCAAUAACUAAAGAGACAGGAUAAAUAUGGUACUUUUCUCCACACCAAGUUUUAUGAGUUUCAAACUCUUUUCCACAUUGACAAGUUUUAUUGAGCACACAAUCAUACGAAAAAUUACUACUUAGGACCAAUGUCCUUCAGAGCACAUAUCUGCUCUUCACCCAUCGCAGACAUGACAGAAACCACGAGAUCUUUUCCAUCAGCAAAUCCAUCUUUAAUCUAUGAAUGUAUCCAAUAAAUCAAAUUAAAAGAGACAAACUAUAUAUGUGGCAUAAAUUCAUAACUAAAUUUACAAAACCCAAUACCUGAGUAAGUAGUGAAUCAUCAGUAGGAAGCUUCAAAUCAUCCUUGGUACUUCCAUUGUCAGUCAACAAACUCACCUAAACAAAACAUCCAUGUAGGUUAAUAAAUGAUCCACUGAAUGACAAUAGCAAUAAUUUGUCCCUAUUUCUUGUUGUGCACUUGUUUGUCUUCACAUUGGAGUCAGAAUUCUUCAUUAUUUAUCUUUUCAAAUCAACAAUUUUAUAUUUAUUCAACAUGAGAAAAAUAUAGUUUAGAAAAUGAACCCUAUGUCAUCUUAUUUUACUUAUGAGCUAAUAAAAACUUGAAUUGAAUGCAAAAUAGAGUUUACAGCUAUGAAGCACGGACACGUGUCGUGUCCGACACCGACACUUAUAAUUACACUGAAUUAUGUGAUUUUUUCAAAUUAUUAGUUGUGUCAGCGUCCGUGUCCGGUGUCUGUAUCCGUGUUUUAUAGGUUUACAGUAAAAGUCAAAAGAAAAAUGUUAUAGUCAUUCCUUGGUAGAAUUUAAUGUGAAAUAUUUGACUUUCUUCAUGUCAGGAAAACAUGGUAGAAAACAAUUGUUAUCUUUGAAAGCAACCUAACAUAAAACAUAAUGUAGAAGUCAAGAGAAAAAUAUUAUAGUCAUUCCUUUGGUAGAAUUUACUGUGAAAUAGUUGACUUUCUUCAUGUUACGAAAACAAGGCAGAAAACAAUUGUUAUCUUCGAAAGCAACCUUACAUAAAACAUACUCUCAGUUUUUAGGACAUGUUUAGUGCCCUCAUCCCUCAACAGACAUAAAGAUAACAACACCCUCAUGUAACUCAUCUAUAUAACCUAAUUCUCAUUUUAUAUAUCCAUUUGAAAGUGUCAACUUAAUUUCCCACCUACUAAAGUUGUCACAAGUAAAAGAAAAAAACUUACAAAUCCAUCUUCAGAGAUAUCAAUCAACUGAUAAUCAGUACGAUUCACAUGAGGAACCUGCAAAGAGAGCAAAGAUGAUUAAAAAAUGCAUAAAACAAAAAUCUAAAAAACAUAAAUGAAGAAAUGGCCGACUUACAUCACAAUUGUGGGACGAAGGAACAAUAUCUUCAAGUUUUUUCCCAUUGAAGAUAUCAAUAGCAACAAAGUGACACUUUGCAUGUCCAUGCUUUCCUGUUUUUGAAGUAGAAACCUCAACAACCUACCAAGAUGUAUUGAGAAACAAAUAUGGCACCCAAAAGACAAGUUAGCCCAAUUGAAAAUGAAAAUCAUAAAAACAAAGAAAUAUUACAGCAAAACUAAAAUUCCAAUGUCCCUGUAGUCAAGGAAUAUAGGUUUCAGCACAAUUGAUAAUUCCAGUUGUAUUAUGUUUUUAAAUUAAACCUAACUCAUCCUAACGAUGUCGACUAGGUGUCCGUCUUUAAAAAUUGUUUCAAAACCUAGGGCCUGUUUGGAUUGACUUAUUUGAGCUUAACUAUAUACAGGAGCAUUUGCGAAAUUGUUUGAAAGAACUUGUGAAAACGGUUAAUGAGAUAGCUAUAAGUUAUUUUCUGCUUAUUUUCAUAAGCUCUCUUAAAAAGAGUAUAGAAAAAAACUAAUAAACUUUAUUUUAUAAAAAGUUCAUACAUAAGUGCUUAUGCUAUAUAAGCUGUAAAUUAAGUUAAUCUCUUUUCAACAUGGAACUUAAUUAUUAUUUUUUUUCACAAUUAUUUAUUGCAACCAAUGUUAGAUCUAGAUGUAAAAUAGCACCAUAUGUCUAUGUCUCCGUUCAAAACAAUCAAAUCAAAACAACGAAAUCAUGUUCCAAUUUAUAUUCGAUUCAAACAUCCCCAGUUACCAAUAUAAACGGAAGCAUGUUAAUUAAUACAAAUCGUAAUCAUAGAAUAGCAUAAAUCAAAAUCAGAGUGAGAUCGAAUAAGGAAUUAAAAAAAAAAAAAAAAAAAAAAAAAAAUCUAGAAGGGGAAAGGGAAAAGGAGAAAACCUUGCAAGGCCUGGACUUGAUGACGAUGUAACCAUUCUUGCGAAUAGUACCGGCCUGUUGAGGAUAGGUUUUGGAUGCUCCGGCAUCGGCAGCGGGUUCAAAGUGAUGUUCUUCGUCAGACAUGGUGUUGAUUGAUGCUUUCUCUGCGCGCGUGGGUAAUGUGUUAUGUGUGAGGAGAAAGAUGAGU
rnacentral:lncRNA from 1 species